GGAGGAAAAGAAACUAACAAGGAUUCCCCUAGUAACGGCGAGUGAAGCGGGAAGAGCUCAACAUUGUAAUCUGGCUGCUUCGCAGUCCGAGUUGUAGUCUAUAGAAGCAUGAUCCGCGCCGGCCCUUGGGCAUGUCUGUUGGAACGCAGUGUCAAAGAGGGUGAAAAUCCCGUACAUACCAAGGACGACCGUGUGCAUUGUGGUCUGCUCUCUGAGAGUCGAGUUGUUUGGGAAUGCAGCUCUAAUUGGGUGGUAAAUUCCAUCUAAAGCUAAAUAUCGACGAGAGACCGAUAGCGAACAAGUACAGUAAUGGAAAGAUGAAAAGUAGCCUGCAGAGGCAAUGAAACAAUACGUGAAACCGUUUGUAGGGAAGCGAUGGAACCUUUUCACGCUGCGAGGGUUCAGCUUGGCUUCGGCUUAGUGUAUUCCCUCGUUUUGCGGACCAGCAUCAGUUUGCUUCGCAGUAUAAGGGUGAUUGGAACGUGGCUUCUCCGGAAGUGUUAUAGCCUUUCACUGGAUGCUGUGUCGCAGACUGAGGACUGCAGUGCGCCGUAAGGCAUGGCCUUCGGGCCACGAGCACUUAGGAUGCUGGGCGAAUGGGUUUCAACGACCCGUCUUGAAACACGGACC
rnacentral:rRNA from 1 species